rnacentral:lncRNA from 10 species
CACCCCUCUUCCUCCCCGGGGCCUUCCACCUCCGCGAGUUUUAUGACUUAAAAAAGCCCACAGGCUGGUCUGAAGAGGAAGACAAACAUAAAGAUGAAGUGCUUAAUUCAAGGUCACACAAUGUCGGGGAUGGACCUCCAGAUUUCCUUACUGGAAAACAAGCUCAGGGCUCCCACUGAUUGUACAUUAUGACCAAGUGUGUUGGGGACUUGAGAUGCGUACAUGAGUGUGAUGUUUCCUGCUGAAAGCACAGGUGAGACGUGGUCUUGUAACACAGUGGUUAAGAAUGUGACUUUGGAGCCAGCCUGCUAGGGGCUGAAUUCUGACUCAGCCAUUUACUAACUGUGUGACCUUAGGUCACAGAAUUUUCCACACUCCUUGACAGAGGUGCUUAACCCUUAUCCAUCAGCAUUCUCAGACAGCACCUCCGGUUAGGGACAGUAUCUGACCGUCCGACAUCCCUGCAGCCCCCAUGUGUCACACAGACUCAGCCUCAGGUAGAUGGUUUCCGUAGAUGGUGGCUUUCUUUGGACCCUUGACAUCAACCAGUUACUAUUUGGGGACCAGAUGUGCAGAGGUAAUGAAUACCAGGGAAUCAGGAAACCACUGGAUCAGUUCUUUGAGCCACAGAACAACACUCAUCCCAGCAGCUGGGAAGCUAUCUGC